rnacentral:hammerhead_ribozyme from 1 species
AUCCAACUGACGAGUCCCAAAUAACACAAAACGCGCUUCCUGGAU